UUCCGGUUGAUCCUGCCGGGAGGCGACCGCUUUUGGAGUUCGAUUAAGCCAUGCGAGUCGAGAGCUUUCGGAGCUCGGCAUACUGCUCAGUAACACGUGGAUAACGUGCCCUAUUGUCUGGAAUAACCUCGGGAAACUGAGAACAAUGCCGGAUAGCCCACAAUGCCUGGAACGGUUUGUGGGUGAAGAUAGGAUGGGUCUGCGGCGUAUCAGGUCGUAGGGGGUGUAAUGGACCUCCUAGCCAUCGACGCGUACGGGUGUUGGGAGACAUAGCCCGGAGAUGGAUUCUGAGACACGAAUCCAGACCCUACGGGGUGCAGCAGGCGCGAAAACUUCACACUGCAGGAAACUGUGAUGAGGGAACUCCAAGUGCUAUCACUAUGUGGUAGCUUUUCUUAACUAUUAAUCGGUUUUGGAAUAAGGGCUGGGAAAGACCGGUGCCAGCCGCCGCGGUAAUACCGGCAGCUCAAGUGGUCGUCGCUUUUAUUGGGCCUAAGACGUCCGUAGCCUGUUUAGUAAAUUCGUGGGUAAAUCAACCAGCUUAACUGGUUGAAUUCUGCAAAGACUGCUAGACUAGGGACCGGGAGAGGUGUGAGGUACUCUAGGGGUAGAGGUAAAAUUCUGUCAUCCUUGGAGGACCACCAGUUGCGAAGGCGUCACACUAGAACGGAUCCGACGGUCAGGGACGAAGCCUAGGGGCACGAACCGGAUUAGAUACCCGGGUAGUCCUAGGUGUAAACGCUGUGAACUUGGUGUCGGGAUUCCGUCAGGGGACCUCGGUGCCGAAGUGAAGAUGUUAAGUUCACUGCCUGGGGAGUACGGUCGCAAGGCUGAAACUUAAAGGAAUUGGCGGGGCAGCAC
rnacentral:rRNA from 1 species